CCUACGGGUGGCAGCAGUGGGGAAUAUUGGGCAAUGGAGGAAACUCUGACCCAGCAACGCCGCGUGAAUGAUGAAGGUCUUCGGAUUGUAAACCACUGUCCCCAGGGACGAAGAUGACGGUACCUGGGGAGGAAGCUCCGGCUAACUACGUGCCAGCAGCCGCGGUAAUACGUAGGGAGCGAGCGUUGUCCGGAAUUACUGGGUGUAAAGGGAGCGUAGGCGGGACUGCAAGUUGGGUGUCAAAUCUACCGGCUAAACCGGGAGCCGCACUCAAAACUGCAGUUCUUGAGUGAAGUAGAGGCAGGCGGAAUUCCUAGUGUAGCGGUGAAAUGCGUAGAUAUUAGGAGGAACACCAGUGGCGAAGGCGGCCUGCUGGGCUUUUACUGACGCUGAGGCUCGAAAGUGUGGGGAGCAAACAGGAUUAGAUACCCUGGUAGUC
rnacentral:rRNA from 1 species